GCGUUGUUCGGAAUCACUGGGCGUAAAGCGCACGUAGGCGGAUCUUUAAGUCAGGGGUGAAAUCCCGAGGCUCAACCUCGGAACUGCCUUUGAUACUGAGAGUCUCGAGUCCGGGAGAGGUGAGUGGAACUGCGAGUGUAGAGGUGAAAUUCGUAGAUAUUCGCAAGAACACCAGUGGCGAAGGCGGCUCACUGGCCCGGUACUGACGCUGAGGUGCGAAAGCGUGGGGAGCAAACAGG
rnacentral:rRNA from 1 species